CUCAAGAAUCUCACCCAUAUUAUUUGAACGCCACAAGAAAUAAAUCUUAAUAAGCUUGAACUUAGUUCAACGAAAAGCAAAAAAAAUUGAAAGCAAUUAUGCCUCUCAAUAAUAUCUCUCAAAAGUUAAUUGUCUUUACAAUGAAAACAUGAUUCCUAUUUCUAGGGAACUCAAUAAAGCCUAGUUGACGUGGAAAUAAAGUCUAAAGGCUACAAAAUAUACCAUAAAAAUAGAGUUUUAACAUAAAUAUGAGAUUACGCGAAUUUGAAGAAAUCGUGUCAUAGAAUUAUACUAUGCAGCUGCAUGGUACUAACCAAUGUGAUAGCAAAGAAUUAUUAAUUUGUCAAGUUGACUUUGCUACACAUUGGAAUGCGGUCUCAUGCCCCUUUAACUAUGCAAGUUACAUAGUUUAGUUGGUCGGUUUCUCUAUCCAUAGCUCGAAUCAAGUUGAUCCACUUCGUGUUUUCCUUCGUGCCCAACAUGAAACUUUUUGAUUUGCUUGCCAUCCAUGAUCAAUGUUUCAUUCACCGUGGCUUGAACAAGUAGUCCCAUCGCUUCUUUAACUGUCUUUGCUCGUGACCUAGUCAUAGGUCCUUCUUCAAUGAUUAAUGAAUCCUUACUCGAACUUCCUUUCAUGCCAUGGAUCACAUCAAAAAGUAAUUUGUAUAAGGACAUGUUGAGAACAGAUCUUAAAAAUUCAAGUCUUGAAGUUUAUAAAUUUAAGAUGAUCCCAUUAAAAAAUGUCCAGUAAUUGAGUUAGAGAAUGUUGAUGGAGAAAAUUAUGAAAAUAUAAUUUUAGAAGUAUAUCAAGACAUCCCUAUGACUUUAUCUAGAAGAUCCAACAAAACUAAUAGACCUCUACAAACUGAUAGAGGUGAACCAUAGAGUUAUAAUGAAGCUUUUCUUGUUGAUGAAUCAAUCAAGUGGGUGUUAGCCAUGAGGACAUUGUAAUUAACAGAGUUACCAAAAUAAAAGAAAGCUUUCUAGAAUAAAUGGAUUUACCGGUUAAAAGAAAAACAUAAUGGAAGUAAGUGGUAUAAAGCAAGAUCGGUGGUAAAUGGAUUUCAACAUAAAGAAGGUAUUGGUAGAAGAAGUUUGAUAGUUUUAUGAGUAAUAGCAUUAGCAGGUGUCAAGGGGAUCACUGUUGUUAUGUAAAGAACCCUGGUAACUCUUAUAUAUUAUCUUGCUGCGACUAUAUGUUGAUGACAUGUUAAUUACAGAUGCUUGCAAGCAAGAAAUAAAUAAGUUGAAAAAUGAGUUAUCUAAGGAGUUUUCAAUGAAAGACUUGAGAUGAGAAUUAUUAGGGACAAUGAUGUCUUGAAAUUGUCACAUAAAGAGUGAUAAAUAUGUUUUACACACUUAUUUGGUCCAUAAAAUGUGACUAAUUGUUGAUCAAAGCAUUUGGAUUUUGGCUUAAUUUUGUAUAUUGAAUUAUAUUGAUGGAUAUGGCAGAAUUCAAGAGAAAAGAAAAGAAAAAGGGGGAAAUCCAAAGUAUGAGGACUAAAUUACAGCAUUUCAAUAAUUGAUUUGGACCACAAAAUGAUUGCUAAAGGUGUUGCAGGUUCAAUUAGAUGCGAUUAAAAGUCAAAGGGUUAAAAAUACAAGAGAAAGGACUUGAAAGAAUUAAAAAUCGAAUUCAGGGGUUAAAAUGCAAUAUUCGGGAGUUUUUAUAACUGAGCAACAGCCCCAUUGUUUAGAGUGAGUGAUUGCCCAACGUUAAGAAAUAACUACAGAGAAGAAAGCUUUGAAU
rnacentral:lncRNA from 1 species